UACGUAGGGUGCAAGCGUUGUCCGGAAUUAUUGGGCGUAAAGAGCUUGUAGGCGGUUUGUCGCGUCUGCUGUGAAAUUUCGGGGCUCAACCCCGAACUUGCAGUGGGUACGGGCAGACUAGAGUGUGGUAGGGGAGACUGGAAUUCCCGGUGUAGCGGUGAAAUGCGCAGAUAUCGGGAAGAACACCCGUGGCGAAGGCGGCUCUCUGGGACGGUACUGGACGCUGAGACGCGAAAGCGUGG
rnacentral:rRNA from 1 species